CCAUCCCAGUUCGGAUUGCAGGCUGCAACCCGCCUGUAUGAAGUUGGAAUCGCUAGUAAUCGCGGAUCAGCAUGCCGCGGUGAAUACGUUCCCGGGCCUUGUACACACCGCCCGUCACACCAUGAGAGUCGGGAACACCCGAAGUCCGUAGCCUAACCGCAAGGGGGGCGCGGCCGAAGGUGGGUUCGAUAAUUGGGGUGAAGUCGUAACAAGGUAAC
rnacentral:rRNA from 1 species